rnacentral:rRNA from 1 species
GACGAACGCUGGCGGCGUGCCUAAUACAUGCAAGUAGAACGCUGAAGGGAGAGCUUGCUCUUCUGGAUGAGUUGCGAACGGGUGAGUAACGCGUAGGUAACCUGCCUGGUAGCGGGGGAUAACUAUUGGAAACGAUAGCUAAUACCGCAUAACAGCAAAUGUUGCAUGACAUUUGCUUAAAAGGUGCAAUUGCAUCACUACCAGAUGGACCUGCGUUGUAUUAGCUAGUUGGUGGGGUAACGGCUCACCAAGGCGACGAUACAUAGCCGACCUGAGAGGGUGAUCGGCCACACUGGGACUGAGACACGGCCCAGACUCCUACGGGAGGCAGCAGUAGGGAAUCUUCGGCAAUGGACGGAAGUCUGACCGAGCAACGCCGCGUGAGUGAAGAAGGUUUUCGGAUCGUAAAGCUCUGUUGUAAGAGAAGAACAAGUGUGAGAGUGGAAAGUUCACACUGUGACGGUAUCUUACCAGAAAGGGACGGCUAACUACGUGCCAGCAGCCGCGGUAAUACGUAGGUCCCGAGCGUUGUCCGGAUUUAUUGGGCGUAAAGCGAGCGCAGGCGGUUAGAUAAGUCUGAAGUUAAAGGCUGUGGCUUAACCAUAGUACGCUUUGGAAACUGUUUAACUUGAGUGCAAGAGGGGAGAGUGGAAUUCCAUGUGUAGCGGUGAAAUGCGUAGAUAUAUGGAGGAACACCGGUGGCGAAAGCGGCUCUCUGGCUUGUAACUGACGCUGAGGCUCGAAAGCGUGGGGAGCAAACAGG